rnacentral:rRNA from 1 species
AUUGAACGCUGGCGGAAUGCUUUACACAUGCAAGUCGAACGGCAGCACGGACUUCGGUCUGGUGGCGAGUGGCGAACGGGUGAGUAAUGUAUCGGAACGUGCCCAGUCGUGGGGGAUAACGUAGUGAAAAUUACGCUAAUACCGCAUACGAUCUAUGGAUGGAAGCGGGGGAUCGCAAGACCUCGCGCGAUUGGAGCGGCCGAUAUCAGAUUAGGUAGGUGGUGGGGUAAAGGCCCACCAAGCCAACGACCUGGAGCUGGUCUGAGAGGACGACCAGCCACACUGGAACGGAGACACGGUCCAGACUCCUACGGGAUGCAGCAGUGGGGAAUUUUGGACAAUGGGCGAAAGCCUGAUCCAGCCAUUCCGCGUGCAGGAUGAAGGCCCUCGGGUUGUAAACUGCUUUUGUACAGAACGAAAAGGUUUCUACUAAUACUAGGAGCUCAUGACGGUACUGUAAGAAUAAGCACCGGCUAACUACGUGCCAGCCGCCGCGGUAA